AGUAGCCGCGGGAAUACGUAGGGUGCAAGCGUUAAUCGGAAUUACUGGGCGUAAAGCGUGCGCAGGCGGUUAGAUAAGCCAGAUGUGAAAUCCCCGGGCUCAACCUGGGAACUGCAUUUGAGACUGUAUGGCUAGAGUGUGUCAGAGGGGGGUAGAAUUCCACGUGUAGCAGUGAAAUGCGUAGAUAUGUGGAGGAAUACCGAUGGCGAAGGCAGCCCCCUGGGAUAACACUGACGCUCAUGCACGAAAGCGUGGGGAGCAAACAGGAUUAGAUACCCCCGUAGUCCCUGUCUCUUAUACA
rnacentral:rRNA from 1 species